AUUGAACGCUGGCGGCAUGCCUUACACAUGCAAGUCGAACGGUAACAGCACUUCGGUGGCUGACGAGUGGCGAACGGGUGAGUAAUACAUCGGAACGUGCCCGAGAGUGGGGGAUAACGCAGCGAAAGCUGUGCUAAUACCGCAUACGAUCUACGGAUGAAAGCAGGGGAUUCGCAAGGACCUUGCGCUCAUGGAGCGGCCGAUGGCAGAUUAGGUAGUUGGUGGGGUAAAGGCCUACCAAGCCUGUGAUCUGUAGCUGGUUUGAGAGGAUGAUCAGCCACACUGGGACUGAGACACGGCCCAGACUCCUACGGGAGGCAGCAGUGGGGAAUAUUGGACAAUGGGGGAAACCCUGAUCCAGCAAUGCCGCGUGAAUGAAGAAGGCCUUAGGGUUGUAAAGUUCUUUUGUCCGUGACGAUAAUGACGGUAGCGGACGAAUAAGCCCUGGCUAACUCUGUGCCAGCAGCCGCGGUAAUGUACA
rnacentral:rRNA from 1 species